GCAAAAUGACCCCGUAACUUCGGGAGAAGGGGUGCUCAUUUGGGUGAAUAGCCCGGAUGAGCCGCAGUGAAUAGGCCCAGGCGACUGUUUAGCAAAAACACAGGUCUCUGCGAAGCCGCAAGGCGAAGUAUAGGGGCUGACGCCUGCCCGGUGCUGGAAGGUUAAGAGGAGGGGUUAGCUCACGCGAAGCUCUGAAUCGAAGCCCCAGUAAACGGCGGCCGUAACUAUAACGGUCCUAAGGUAGCGAAAUUCCUUGUCGGGUAAGUUCCGACCCGCACGAAAGGCGUAACGAUCUGGGCACUGUCUCAACGAGAGACUCGGUGAAAUUAUAGUACCUGUGAAGAUGCAGGUUACCCGCGACAGGACGGAAAGACCCCGUGGAGCUUUACUGUAGCCUGAUAUUGAAUUUUGGUACAGCUUGUACAGGAUAGGUAGGAGCCUGAGAAACCGGAGCGCCAGCUUCGGUGGAGGCGUCGGUGGGAUACUACCCUGGCUGUAUUGAAAUUCUAACCCACGCCCCUAAUCGGGGCGGGAGACAGUGUCAGGUGGGCA
rnacentral:rRNA from 1 species